CAGGGUGAAGGUAAAAAGUCUCUCCUGCUCUCCACUGGUGGAAGGUGUGAGAAGUGGCUAAAGCCAAAGCCAGGGUUUGUUGUUCCUCUUCUAGGUGAUCCAGAGCAAGUUCUGGAGCAACCAAGGAAAUUGUGUUCCCUGUAGAUAAAACUCGAAGUAUCCAUUUGUUGGAAGGAAAGCAAAACGGAGCCUGUUGGUGGAAGUCUCAAAUAUUUUGGUGAGUUGAUGGCCAUAAAAGCGUUCCUUCUGUGUUGCUUUGCUGGCUUAACAAAGCAAGCUCUAACUGGUCUUGUUGUGCUUCGUGUGCAAAAAGUCCUCAG